GACCUCGGAUCAGGUAGGGU
rnacentral:rRNA from 1 species